rnacentral:rRNA from 1 species
CCUACGGGAGGCAGCAGUGGGGAAUAUUGCACAAUGGGGGGAACCCUGAUGCAGCGACGCCGCGUGAGUGAAGAAGUAUUUCGGUAUGUAAAGCUCUAUCAGCAGGGAAGAAAAUGACGGUACCUGACUAAGAAGCCCCGGCUAACUACGUGCCAGCAGCCGCGGUAAUACGUAGGGGGCAAGCGUUAUCCGGAUUUACUGGGUGUAAAGGGAGCGCAGACGGCUGUGCAAGUCUGGAGUGAAAGGCGGGGGCCCAACCCCCGGACUGCUCUGGAUACUGUAAAGCUGGAGGGCAGGAGAGGUAAGCGGAAUUCCUAGGGUAGCGGUGAAAUGCGUAGAUAUUAGGAGGAACACCAGUGGCGAAGGCGGCUUACUGGACUGCAACUGACGUUGAGGCUCGAAAGCGUGGGGAGCAAACAGGAUUAGAUACCCGGGUAGUC